rnacentral:rRNA from 1 species
AACGAACGCUGGCGGCGUGGAUUAGGCAUGCAAGUCGAACGAGAAAGACUCCUUCGGGGAUCGAGUAGAGUGGCAAACGGGUGAGUAACGCGUGGGAAACCUGCCUUUUAGUUGGGGACAACACUUCUAACGAGGUGCUAAUACCGAAUAAGAUCUUACUAUCGCAUGAUGGUUUGAUGAAAGACGGCCUCUGUUUCAAGCUGUCGCUGAAAGAUGGUCCCGCGUCCCAUUAGCUUGUUGGUGAGGUAACGGCUCACCAAGGCGACGAUGGGUAGCCGGCCUUAGCGGGUGAUCGGCCACACUGGGACUGAGAUACGGCCCAGACUCCUACGGGAGGCAGCAGUCGAGAGGCAUCCACAAUGGGGGAAACCCUGAUGGUGCGACGCCGCGUGGGUGAUGAAGGUUUUCGGAUCGUAAAACCCUUUCAGCAAGGACGAAUUUACAGGUGUUAAUACCACCAUGUAAAUGACGGU